GAUGAAGAACGUAGCGAAAUGCGAUAAGUAAUGUGAAUUGCAGAAUUCAGUGAAUCAUCGAAUCUUUGAACGCACAUUGCGCCCCUUGGUAUUCCGAGGGGCAUGCCUGUUCGAGCGUCAUAUUAACCACUCCCGCUUGCGGGGUCUUGGGCUUCGCCUCCGGGCGGGCCUUAAAAUCAGUGGCGGUGCCGUCGGGCUCUACGCGUAGUAAAUUUUCUCGCGAUAGGGUCCCGGUGGAUGCUUGCCAACAACCCCCAACUUCUUAAGGUUGACCUCGGAUCAGGUAGGGAUACCCGCUGAACUUAAGCAUAUCAAUAACGGAGGA
rnacentral:misc_RNA from 1 species